GGGCCGUUAGCUCAGCGGUAGAGCAGCGGACUUUUAAUCCGUUGGUCGAUGGUUCGAUCCCAUCACGGCCCACCA
rnacentral:tRNA from 1 species